rnacentral:lncRNA from 1 species
GCGUGAUGCUGACCACAGGCUUGAGGGAGCAGGGCGGCGUGGCUCAGCUCAGAGCCGGGGCAGUUGGAGGUGGCGGCAGUGGCAUGAAGCGCCCGAGCGUGAGAAGAGCCAGGCUGCCCAGGCCUGUCCGGGCGUGUGGCCAUGGACAGGGCAUGCAUCCUCGCAGCUUCCGCCCCUUUGUCAAUAGGGGGACUGCAGGUCGCCGUGCGCAGGGGUCAUUGUGAAGAGUGGGUCUCCAGAGAGCUCAUGAGAGCCCGGCCUGUGUGCAGGACCUGCAUGCAGCAUGGAGCCCCGUGGGCCAGGAAAGAGCCGUUUUUGGGAACUGUGAUGCCUGUGAUUCUUGGUCUAGGAAAAGAAAAUUAAAAAAUUUAAGAGAGAGAAGAGGAGAAACUUCAACGCCUUCCAGAAACUUCAGACUCGACGGAACUUCUGGUCUGUGACUCACCCAGCAAAGGCUGCCAGCCUCAGCUAUCGCCGCUGACUGUGCCCCUGUGGAAGGAGCCUCCUGGAGACAAGGCGUCCCUUCCUGGGAGCUGUGGGUCUGGAUCUGAGGGAGCUCUCUGUGUGGGCUCUGCUGCGCUGGGAGCCUGUCACGGUAGGAGCUCUCCCGGUACCAGUGUCCACAGACCGCCCGACAUAGAGGCUUUGAGGCUUCUCUAGAUCGGAACCUCUUUGGUGACAUUCCCGACCAGCCCUGCAAGAGAAACGACAGUGUGUGUGUGAGCAGAGGUGGCCGCACACCUGCUGGACAUCUUUGCCAGGCUGUGCCUUCUCAUGUUUCAUAGACAGUGGUCUGUGCUGGCAGAGGCUGCUGCCCCUGGUUGGGGCUAUCAGGAGAGUGGGGGAUGGUGGCCACACGUCCCCCAGGUGGUCUCCCGGUGCAUAGCUGGUGGCUCUGGGCAAGCCAUCCCUUGCUUCUCGGGGCUGACGCCACCGUUGUGUCCGAGCCCGCCCUCCCCUGCUUCCUCAGCGGGACCCCUUCAUCUGUUGGCCUUACCUGUCCUCAGAAAGGAAGAGGUGACCCCACCCAGCCACCUCUCCCUUUUAUGGAACUCAAGAGGGUGGCCCUACUGUGCACCCCUUCCUUGUGAGUAACUCUCAACUGUCCUGGAGAGCAGAAGCUAUUUGGGGUCGGAGGAGCCCUCGAUACCUGCGAAUACAUCUGCUUUCCAGGCUGCUGUUUAUUCUGAGACGACUGUGCUGUAGCUUCCCCUUGCAGCUGCAAUAACCCGCAGGUCUUCACUGAGGUGGAGGCCUUGGGGUAGAAUUCUCCAUUUAUUUUACUACUUAAUACAAAACAUUUAUUUUUGACCAGUCCUGUGGCUUCCAUUAGCAAUAUGUUUCCUUUCCCAAAUAUGCAAAUAGUGGCUUUGUUUGCUCAAUUUUGUGAGUGCUUUGGAAUUUAAAUGAUUGUAUAACUCAAGAAGAUUACUUUUCUAUGUUGCUCAAGCUGUGCCUGCCAACUUGUAACUUAAUAAAUACAGGAAAUCCUCAGAGAAGGUGAUAUUUUCAGGAAAAAGACAAAUGCCCUCAUAGUAGUGGGAAGUGUGAAGGUGACCGUGAACAUCCUUCCUCAUCGGGUCUGUCCCCGUCGUUUCCUCCCGGAGUCGUCGCAGGUGGAGAUGGACAACGUGGUGUUGGACUUAGACCUCCUUCAGUGUGGCUCUGCUGGGCCAGAGGCAUCCUGCUGUCCCGGGUGGCUGCCUCGCUGUCUGCACCCCCUCUCCCUGGGGCAGCUUUGCUUCCUGCCCCUGUGCUCGGGGCCUGGGUGGUUACUGGCGUGUAGAUGGAAUUGCUUUUUUAAUAUGGGAAGAUACAUUUAUUUUUUUCCAUGUGGGUGGGUGUCUCUUUUUGGAUUUUCUUCUGUUUUCACGUUUCUCUUCUUAGAAGGGUGGGAGAGAAUCAAGCUCCUGUGGCCACCAGUGUCCCAGCAGCAGUGAGUGGAGCUGCUCAGGGUGCCCUCUCCUGCGGACCAGUCUCUGAAUGUUCAAAGAUGAGGGCCUGGCUUCCGUGCUCUGGCUUUGUAACUUAUCUGGAAGGGAAAGCACAUGCCUUCACGGCAGGGUAUGUUCCUUUUCUUCUCGGGGUGUUGACUUGCAUUCCUCUGUGAACUGUUCCCUCUGCCAUGUUUACCGUGUGAUGUUCUGUAGUUGAAAAUGUUAGUUGUCUGCUGGCACAGAAUUUAUCUCCUUCCUUUCUCUCCCUUCUCUCCUCCAAAUCAGUCUCUUCCCUUCUCCACUAGAUAACUGUAAAACCUUUCCCUGGGGUACAUAUAUUCGUUAACUCUUGGGCAGUGGUGAGCACGAGAUGACUUUCUGCAGCGUUUAUCACUGUUGGGUGGAGUCACGUCCCUUCCCUCCACCGAAGUCAUCAACCAGAUAGGGAAGGGAAAGAUGAGGCCCAGAAAACGAGUUCAAACUCUAGGUCAUGUACACGUAUGUAAGUAAAUAUCAAUAACCCAAGCCUUUGUCGUGGCAGUCACUUGGUUGACUUAGGAUCUGGGUCUAUUUAAUUUUGUGCUUGGGAAUGGAGCUGGAGGGAGUGGGGCCUGUGUACAGCAGCUGCCUCUCCCAGGUCCUCUCACUUGCCUGCCCCACGUCCUGGUUGCAUGGCCGCACCUGUGUGUGUGCAGAGGUCUGUGUCCCAUCCUCUGUACCUCCUCUCCGGGGGCCUGGGGAGCCCCACGUGUUGCCAAGAUCUUGGUGCAAUAAAAUACUCUGGUUUUGUG